rnacentral:RNase_P_RNA from 10 species
GGGAGCAGGAGGGUUGCUGACAGUGUUCGACACUGAGGAAAGUCCCCUCUCCAAGAUGCGAGCGGCCUGGUUAACGCCAGGGACCCGGGAGGGUCGGCUCUGGAACAGAAACGAACCGUGUGGCGAGUUAACGGUGAAUCCCGAAGGAGGAGGUUUCGCCAACAUGGAUGAAACGGCCACCCCCGCUGGAGCAAGUCCAAGCAGGCCCGUCAAGCAGCAUCUGCUAGGGCCGGGUAGGAUGCUAAGUUGAAUGCAACCAGCCGUAAGGUGAACAGAAAGGGGCUUACUCCCUGCACCC